rnacentral:misc_RNA from 1 species
UAUCACCAAUCAAGCCUGGCUUGUCGUUGGACCGUCGUCGGUGAAACACCCGGCAGGCCCGAAAGGUAAUGACGGUGUCGUGUUCGACCCUAGAUACAACGAGCUUUCAUAGCACGUAUCGAAGUGGUCGGCCGGCCCGGUCUCAACUAUAUAUUUCUAAGGUUGACCUCGGAUCAGGUAGGAAUACCCGCUGAACUUAA